rnacentral:rRNA from 1 species
GACGAACGCUGGCGGCGUGCCUAAUACAUGCAAGUAGAACGCUGAAGGAGGAGCUUGCUGCUCUGGAUGAGUUGCGAACGGGUGAGUAACGCGUAGGUAACCUGCCUGGUAGCGGGGGAUAACUAUUGGAAACGAUAGCUAAUACCGCAUAAGAGUAGAUGUUGCAUGACAUUUGCUUAAAAGGUGCAAUUGCAUCACUACCAGAUGGACCUGCGUUGUAUUAGCUAGUUGGUGGGGUAACGGCUCACCAAGGCGACGAUACAUAGCCGACCUGAGAGGGUGAUCGGCCACACUGGGACUGAGACACGGCCCAGACUCCUACGGGAGGCAGCAGUAGGGAAUCUUCGGCAAUGGACGGAAGUCUGACCGAGCAACGCCGCGUGAGUGAAGAAGGUUUUCGGAUCGUAAAGCUCUGUUGUAAGAGAAGAACGAGUGUGAGAGUGGAAAGUUCACACUG